AUGGAUGAAGCAGAGGAGAGAGAACCGCGAGGAAGAGAGGACUGCGACCUGUCCAGCCGCCGUGCCCAGUCACCGCUCAUGUCGCCGGCACCGUCUUCGUCUGAACUGUGGCUAGUUCCGCCGCUGCUGAAGCUUCUGGCCGCGCCUCUGCGUCGCCGGAGCUCCACGCCACCACUGCCGCUGCCGAAAACCGUCUCUGAAGCCUAAUUGCUUGGAUAUACGAUCACCGUGAGUUUCUCUGCCGCCGUCCAAGCUGCCACCAGAAGGAUCCACCACAGCCUCCUCUGUUCUUGUCUUCGAAUCAAAACUGCCCUUUUUCCAAUUUCAUUGUUAAUUCUGCUAUUUCUGAAUAUUUCUGCUAAGGUAUGUUUGAAAAAUUAAAAUUGGUGCUGCUGCUACCGUUUUGGUCACAUUGGAAUCACUGCUGCUGCCAUAAAACAAAAAGGGAAGGGAGUUACUAUGUUUAACCUAUGUGAAUUCAGCUAGUUGAGGUUGAAAACUCGAUACUCUGUUGACCCUACGACGUAAGUGUGACCAGGC